rnacentral:misc_RNA from 1 species
AACGCACGAGACCUGCGGACCUGCGGAGGGAUCAUUACCGAGUUAUCCAACUCCCAACCCCUGUGAAUCAUACCUUUAAUUGUUGCUUCGGCGGGACUUCGCGCCCGCCGGGGACCCAAACCUUCUGAAUUUUUUAAUAAGUAUCUUCUGAGUGGUUAAAAAAAAUGAAUCAAAACUUUUAGCAAUGGAUCUCU